GCCAAAUGAAGAAUUGGAAAUAGAUUUCAGACAUCUGCACAACUAGACUGAUUAUAAUAUCCCUUUUAUUUACCUUGAAAAAAAUCUGUGAUGAAUAGAGAAGUGGUAGAAGCAUGGAAAGAAGCAUUUAAGGUUAAGAAGAAAAGGCGCAUACAAGGUAAAAGCCCUUCCCAAUGCAUCUGUGACAAAAGACAUCUCUGCAAGUUGGUCUACAAGUGGCCAUAAUAAUUCAGAGAAAUUAUUUAGCAGUCGGGAAAACAUUGCCACUGAAUCAUGGAGAGGUCUGGCAGAAAAAAAUUGUCAGAAGACUGGCAUCAAUCACAGCUAAGUGUGGUGUUUCCACUGAUUACAUGUACUCUGCAGUGAGCCUGCCAGAACAGAUCUCUGAUACUACACUGACACGUUGAUAGGUGACUGCGAGAAUGAGUGACGGGGUGGCCUGCCCACAUCUGGGACCAGAAGGAGCGAAUUGCCAUUGCUGAGUGCUUGAAUGCAGAGUAAUUCUUGCUGAUCCAGCAGCUAAUUUUUUUGAAGCUAAAUGUACACAAGGAGAAAGAGAAGAUGUCCUGUGGACUGGCUUUUCAUGUACUUCUGUGCUGCUUUCCACAGUGGUAGCACCAUUUUGCAUUUCCAGGAUCAAUGCAUGAGGAUUGCAAUUUCUCCACAUCCUCACCAACACUUGUAAUUUUCUGGUGCUUUGAUAAUAGCCAUCCUAAUGGGCGUGAGUAAAUAUCUAAAUUAUUAUGAAGAUACAAGAUGAAGAAUGAAGACCCAUCUUCUCAACAACUCUGUCCGCUAUGCCUGAAACACUACCUAAAGCCAAAACUUGAGGUGAAUAUAAACAAAUGAUAGGGCUUUCAUUCAUAAAACACCUUGGCUGUAUACCCUUUCCUCUGGUUCUGAAUUAGUUAAAAAAAAAAUUAGGCCAAUAUAUAUUCAUUGCUCUCUUUCUGGUUCUGAAAAGUACUCUUUCCCAUCUUUCCUUCCCAGUCUCAAUGGUCCAAUAAUAAGACAGAUACUAGAAAUCCCAGAAAGCAAAUGAUCAGAAACCAGAUAAAAAUUAAUGGUAAUACAAAUAUUCUAAGAAUUAUUGUAGUCUUCUAUAUCAGCUCAGAGGAAAAGAAAAGAAACUAGGAAUAGAAUAAGAUAAGAGAUACAUCUGCAAAACCAGCAGGGGAUCUAGAACUGAGAAACUGUUUUAGGAACUACUGUCAAGCCAUCCUUCAGGUAUGAUUUGGGAAAUUUGCUGGACCAAGGAUAAUCCGGUCUGGGGACAAACACUGAGCCUGAGUAGGUCAAAUGAAAGAUAAGUGGGAAAACAAACAAAUUUGAGGCUAUUCAUAUGCUAUGGCCUCAUAUGAAUAAUGUUUCCCACAAAGGGACACAAUUGAAGUCCUAACCUCCAGUACCUUUAAGUGUGAACUUAUUUGGGAAUAGGGUGUUGCAAAUGUAGUUAAUGUAAAGUGAGUUUAGUCCAGGCCAGGUGUGGUGGCUCACGCCCGUAAUCCCAAUACUUUGGGAGGCUG
rnacentral:lncRNA from 1 species